GAAGCACCCCUAUGGAGUAAGACUUGCUUCAGUGGGACUUUGGUGCUCACUGAGUCUGCCCCUUACGUGUGUUACU
rfam:Myotis lucifugus cont2.7623, whole genome shotgun sequence.